rnacentral:rRNA from 1 species
UCGAGAAUCUUCCGCAAUGGACGCAAGUCUGACGGAGCGACGCCGCGUGCGGGAUGAAGGUCUUUGGAUUGUAAACCGCUGUCAAGUGUUAUGAAUGCGCGACGGUUAAUACCCGGCGCGUUGACAAAGGCACUAAAGGAAGCCACGGCUAACUCUGUGCCAGCAGCCGCGGUAAUACAGAGGUGGCAAGCGUUGCUCGGUAUCACUGGGCUUAAAGGGCGCGUAGGCGGCGAGGUACGGUUCGGGUGAAAUCCCUCGGCUCAACCGAGGAACUGCCCGGGCUACGGCCUCGCUUGACAGCAUCAGGGGAAGGUGGAACUCCAGGUGGAGCGGUGAAAUGUGUAGAUAUCUGGAGGAACGCCGGUGGCGAAAGCGACCUUCUGGGGUGCUUGUGACGCUGAGGCGCGAAAGCUAGGGGAGCGAACGGGAUUAGAUACCCCUGUAGUCC